GCAGCAGGAAUGUGCCCAGCCGGCCGAUCACAGGAUGUGGACGUGAGUCAACCAAGCGAGAAGUUCCAUCUGGAAACUCGGGCAUGAGGUUUAAAUGUGGUCUGCUCUGCCUCAGGCUGGCUGUGACCUUGAGCUGGUGAUGUCCCUGCCUCAGUUUCCUCACCUUCUGAUGGAGAUGGGAGGGGAAGAAAGCAGCUGCCUCUGGGUGGUGGCAGAGAUGCCCAUGUCUAGGACCUCCAGGCCUUAACUAAUCAGGGGCACUGAUGAAGCCAGCGGGGCUCCACUGGGGACCACAGGCAAGACUGGGCCAGGACGAGGCGGUCACGCAGAGAAAGAAGAUAAAAGGGAACAGAAGAGAAAAUUCAAAAGCCAUGAAAUGCUCUGCUCUCUUCUCUUUUCCUUGCUGUCCCUGGGGCUGGAGGAGCACGGGCCUCCCCGGGAGUGGGCUUCAGCCUCCCUAGACUCCUGUCUCCUUCCAAGGGCUAGGCCUGGGGGACCAGAAGCAAGAGUCCCUAGAGCGUCCAAGAUUUUUGGUUUCAAACCAAUUUCCUGCUGACCAGAAUGAAAUGGAGCCACAUUCCAGCACGAUGCACCUGCUGACCUCCUGCAAGUCAGGGACCUUCUCUGCCCCUCUUUUGCUCUGCUGCAGGAGGGAGAAGCUGGGAAUGUGUUCCUCUGGGGUCCCAUCACCUCCAGCCAGCCACUGUCCCUGUCUCCCCAAAACCUCCUCGUUGUCCCUCCUCUGUCCUCCUCCUCCUCCAUCUGCCUUCGCCCUGCUCUCCUCUUUUUCGCCUGAGGUUCGUGCUGCCUCCUCACCUCUUGUCCUGUUUCUCCCUUCUCUCUGCUCCCUCCUUUGAUCUUGCUAUUUUGCUUCUCUUUCCCUUCCUCUCUUCUCCUCCCUCCCCUUCCUCCCUGCUCCCUGCCUCAGCUUCUCAGUCUCUCUCCGUUCUUCCUCUAGCUUCCUUCCCUCCCCAGAAGACCCAGCCCUUCCUAGAGCCCCAGAAGCCAGGGUUCAUGCCCCAGCUCUCUACCCACACAUGCUGUGCAACCCUGGGCCAGUCACUGGUCUCUUGGGCCUCAGUUCAACAGAUGGCUGUCUUGGUGAUGUGAGAUCAUAGGGUGGAAGCACCCAGAAUGGUGCCAGGCACUCAAAAAUUUUUUUCUUUUCCUUUUUAAGGAACUACUAACCGUGAGGUUAUGGAUUACCAAACCGUUCCUGUUCUUGGAAUCUGGGUCCUACUAUUCCCAAGAAUUUGAAUUACCACGGGUCCCUGGGGAUGUAAGGGGAUGAGGCUUCUGAUGUACUUUGGGAGGGGGAGGAGUGGAAAGAGGAGUUGGGAGGACACUCUAGCAUUGCCCAGAGGGCAGAGGACAUUCUGCCUAUUUCCAGAGGUUAUUGACCCUGGAUCUCUUUUAUGGAGUUCCUCACCCAGGCCCCUUGAGCUUGGCCAUACUUGAGGCAAUGGGAUAUCUUCCUUCUCCUGGAGCCCCUUGAAUCUUAGGCCUCGGGAACACACAGUCUACUGUGUUUCUUGGCUGCACCCACGGAGGACAGCCCCCAUACUCCUUGCUUACAACCAGCAAAGACUCCACAGCCAUCCCUGCACACGACUCAGGCUCCUUGGCUUGGCACUCAAGGCUCUUUGCUUUCCUGUCCUGCUUUGCUUCCAGCUGCAAAGAUGGUGGCUUCCUGUUUUCCUCUUCGUUUCCUUUGCUUAAGUUGAUUCUCAGCCAGACAUGCUUUCCCCCUGCACGCUUCCCUAAGCCAUCCUAUCUGGGACCCUGACCCAAUCAAUGGUUCCCUAAUGCACCUUUGAGACCAAGUGUACCUGGCACCUCCUCUCUUGCCCCACUAUCUGCUCACAUGACCCUCUGCAGGCCUGUAAGCUGCUGGAGGCUCCGAGUAUGCCUCAUUCAUGUCUAUCCCCCUUACUAGGCCCAGACCAUGGAAGACACUCAAUAAAAAGUAAGUGAUUAAAUGACAACCUCUACGGAAAAGAGUAUGGAGAUUUCUCAAAGAACUAAAAACAGAACUACCUUUUGGCCAGAUGCAGUGGCUCACACCUAUAAUCCCAACAUUUGGGAAGGCUGAGGCAGGUGGAUUGCUUGAGCCCAGGAGUUCAAGAUCAGCCUGGGCAACAUGGUGAAACCCUAUCUCUACAAAAAAUACAGAAAAUUAGAUGAGACUACAGGUGGCACACAUCCAUAGUACCAGCUACUCCAGAGGCUGAGGCGGGAGGAUCGCUUGAGCCCAGGAGGUCCAGGCUACAGUGGGCCAAGAUCACGCCAUUGCACUCCAGCCUCAGUGAUAAAGUGGCAUUCUGUCUCAAAAGAAAAAGAACUGGCCAAGCAUGGUGGCUCACGUCUGUAAUCCCAGCACUUUGGGAGGCCGAGGCAGGUGGAUCACAUGAGAUCAGGAGUUUGAGACUAGCCUGGCCAACAAUGAUGAAACCCCAUCUCUACUAAAAAUACAAUAAUUAGCUGGGCGUGGUGGCGGGCGCCUGUAAUCCCAGCUACUCAGGAGGCUGAGGCAGGAGAAUCAUUUGAACCCGGGAGGCAAAGUGAGCCAAGAUUGUGCCACUGCACUCCAGCCUGGGCAACAAGAGCGAAACUCAGUCUCAAAAGAAAAAGAAAAAGAGAGAAAAGAAGAAAGGAAAAGAAAUAUCAUUUGAUCCAGCAAUCUCACUGAGUAUCUAACCAAAGGAAAAUAAAUCACUAUACCAAAAA
rnacentral:lncRNA from 1 species